rnacentral:rRNA from 1 species
UAGGGAAUCUUCGGCAAUGGGGGGAACCCUGACCGAGCAACGCCGCGUGAGUGAAGAAGGGUUUCGGAUCGUAAAGCUCUGUUGUUAAGGAAGAACGAGUGUGAGAAUGGAAAGUUCAUACUGUGACGGUACUUAACCAGAAAGGGACGGCUAACUACGUGCCAGCAGCCGCGGUAAUACGUAGGUCCCGAGCGUUGUCCGGAUUUAUUGGGCGUAAAGCGAGCGCAGGCGGUUAGAUAAGUCUGAAGUUAAAGGCAGUGGCUCAACCAUUGUAGGCUUUGGAAACUGUUUAACUUGAGUGCAGAAGGGGAGAGUGGAAUUCCAUGUGUAGCGGUGAAAUGCGUAGAUAUAUGGAGGAACACCGGUGGCGAAAGCGGCUCUCUGGUCUGUAACUGACGCUGAGGCUCGAAAGCGUGGGGAGCGAACAGG